rnacentral:rRNA from 1 species
CCUACGGGAGGCAGCAGUCGAGAAUCAUUCACAAUGGGGGAAACCCUGAUGGUGCGACGCCGCGUGGGGGAAUGAAGGUCUUCGGAUUGUAAACCCCUGUCAUGUGGGAGCAAAUUAAAAAGAUAGUACCACAAGAGGAAGAGACGGCUAACUCUGUGCCAGCAGCCGCGGUAAUACAGAGGUCUCAAGCGUUGUUCGGAAUCACUGGGCGUAAAGCGUGCGUAGGCUGUUUCGUAAGUCGUGUGUGAAAGGCGCGGGCUCAACCCGCGGACGGCACAUGAUACUGCGAGACUAGAGUGAUGGAGGGGGAACCGGAAUUCUCGGUGUAGCAGUGAAAUGCGUAGAUAUCGAGAGGAACACUCGUGGCGAAGGCGGGUUCCUGGACAUUAACUGACGCUGAGGCACGAAGGCCAGGGGAGCGAAAGGGAUUAGAUACCCGUGUAGUC